rnacentral:rRNA from 1 species
GCCGGACUGAGAGGUUGAACGGCCACAUUGGGACUGAGACACGGCCCAGACUCCUACGGGAGGCAGCAGUGGGGAAUAUUGCACAAUGGGGGAAACCCUGAUGCAGCGACGCCGCGUGGAGGAAGAAGGUCUUCGGAUUGUAAACUCCUGUUGUUGGGGAAGAUAAUGACGGUACCCAACAAGGAAGUGACGGCUAACUACGUGCCAGCAGCCGCGGUAAAACGUAGGUCACAAGCGUUGUCCGGAAUUACUGGGUGUAAAGGGAGCGCAGGCGGGAAGACAAGUUGGAAGUGAAAUCUAUGGGCUCAACCCAUAAACUGCUUUCAAAACUGUUUUUCUUGAGUAGUGCAGAGGUAGGCGGAAUUCCCGGUGUAGCGGUGGAAUGCGUAGAUAUCGGGAGGAACA